AGCAUUUGUGUGUUUUUUUUUUUUGUUAAACUGGGGGACAAAGACAUGAAAGACAGAUGCAAAAAUGAAACCUCUCUUGCAACCCAGAACGCCUGGGAGUUUUGAUGCUCAUGAGACAGAGAACA